UACGUAGGGUGCAAGCGUUAAUCGGAAUUACUGGGCGUAAAGCGUGCGCAGGCGGUUAUGCAAGACAGAUGUGAAAUCCCCGGGCUCAACCUGGGAACUGCAUUUGUGACUGCAUGGCUGGAGUGCGGCAGAGGGGGAUGGAAUUCCGCGUGUAGCAGUGAAAUGCGUAGAGAUGUGGAGGAAUACCGAUGGCGAAGGCAGCCCCCUGGGCCAAUACUGACGCUCAUGCACGAAAGCGUGGGGAGCAAACAGG
rnacentral:rRNA from 1 species